GGCUUCUCGAAAAACAUGGGGGGUCGUGCCUUCCCGGUGAGCUUAAGGGCUUAAACGGAUGCGGUAAAGCGUGCUAAGGUAGCUAAAUUAUGGCCUAUUAAUUGUAGGUCCUGUGAAUGGUUUGACGAGUCCUCAACUGUCUCUGGUUUGUUUUAGUGAACUUGAAUUGAAGGUGCAAAUGCCUUUGUGGGUAAGAAAGACGAGAAGACCCCGUGAAGUUAGAAAUUUUAGGUACUUGCGUUAGUCCUUUAGACGGUCGUCAUGGUUUUGUUAAAAAGCUUGGGAGGGUGCUAGUAGUUUUGGCUGGGGCAGCAACGAAGCAAGACUAGACUUUGAUUGGUUAAUAGGCUGGUGUGCGACGACCCCCAAGAUAGGUGUAGAGUUGUGAUUAGCAGAAGAAGUUACUCCGGGGGAUAACAGCGUUAUC
rnacentral:rRNA from 1 species